UGCUCCAAUUUCAAUUUCAAUUUCAAUACAAUUAAGGGAAAUUAUACUGAAUUUGCAUAAACCACAACGAAAUUUCAAUCAGGAAAGUCUUCGACAAAUGGCAAACAAGAAAAGCGUACGCACAGCAACACAGCAAGCACAGAGUGGAUGUAAAUGUAACAGCGCCAAAUAAAAUGGAAAGUUUUCACAAAAGCAACAAGCAAAUGUGAGCAGAAAACGAAGCAGGUGCAUUCUCCCUCUGGUGAAAAAUGCAGUGAAAGGAAAUGACAGCGGAGCGUCAUCAUACAGCUAUCAAACAUAUGAAAACAUUACAUUGAAUUAGUGAGCAGCAUUUAAAUUGGAGAGUUCCCUACAAAUACGUACUCAUACACAUAUACGAGUACAUUCCUACGCGUUGGUGUUAUUGCUUGGCUGUUUCGUUGUUGUGCGUUUACUCUCAUGGUGGUCGCUGUUCUGUAUGCGCAUGUUCCAUUUAACAACAAAACCAAAUUACUGCUCUGAGCUGUAAUAUGCUGGUAAGAGAUAAAUUCUCUGCAAGUUGAGAACAGUGGGGCUGAGCGGCAAGGUCAAAAUGAAUUUAUGCGAAAUGAAACCUGAAACGAAGAACACGAUUCACUUUCUCAAUAUCUCAAGAGGCAAAGAGAAGAUUUCUUUAGAAGUUAAUGACCGUUAGCAACGGUGGCUGAUCACUUUUCUUCAUGCGUUCAUCAGACGCGGCUUGCUACCUAAAUUUGAACAUCCAACUUUUCUGUUUCAACUUUAAUGUUAUUUGGGAAGUAGCACACGUAUACACAGUGGCACAGAAUUAAUCAUCCUUACU